rnacentral:rRNA from 1 species
GAAAUGCGAUAAGUAAUGUGAAUUGCAGAAUUCAGUGAAUCAUCGAAUCUUUGAACGCACCUUGCACCCUUUGGCAUUCCGAAGGGUAUGCUCGUUUGAGUGUCAUUGUACUCUCACACUCCCGAUCGUUCGAUUGGGAGCGGUGGACUUGGGUGUUGCUGCUUGCCGUGGCUCACCUCAAAUGGGUUCGUGCACCUCUUGGUUGGACAUAGUACGGCGUGAUAAGUGUCUUCGCCGGCGCCUCAGUAGAGGGUGGCCGAUCGGGAGCUCUGUGCUUCCAACCGUCCUCGGACAACGACUGACAACUUGACCUCAAAUCGAGUAGGACCACCCGCUGAACUUAAGCAUAUCAAUAAGCGGAGGAAAAGAAACU